rfam:Anaerococcus lactolyticus ATCC 51172 genomic scaffold SCAFFOLD2, whole genome shotgun sequence.
CUGUAUUUGCUUGAUCGGCUGAUAUAAAAUGAACGUGGGUGUCAAUUGCUCCAGCGGUUACGAUUUUAUUUUCACCUGAGAUUAUUUCAGUGCUUGCCCCUAUUACAAGACCAGGGUUGACAUUAUCGUUCAUAUCAGGAUUACCUGACUUGCCUAUUCCUGUAAUAAUACCAUCCCUAAUUCCUAUAUCUGCUUUGUAAAUACCAGUAUAGUCUAGGAUAAUCGCAUUUGUAAUUACUGUAUCGCAAGUGCCUGAGGCAUAGCUUGCAGUUGAUGAUUGGUUCAUACCAUCUCUUACAG